rnacentral:lncRNA from 1 species
UUAACGAAAUAGAAGUAGUUGAUGAGGUUUGCCAAGAACCAGUGAAAUAGAGGGUUUCUUGUUCACAGCUGUGGUUGCAGGAUACCUACAGAUGAUGGCAUGCCUUGAGGACAUUUUUGCAGAUUUAAUGUUUCCAGGAUAAUCUUCACAACUAGUGGGACAUUACCAGCCAGGAGAUGUUCACUUCAUUGGAGUCCUUUUGAUGGAGGAGUCCAUGGCACAAAUCCUAAAGAGGGCAGCAGAAUCCAACCUACACCUCCUGCCUGUUGCCAGCUGAAGCAGGCCGGUGCUGCUAAUUGAACGUGCUUUAUGUACGAGUGCUGUUCAGUACAUGCAUCCAGGACAUGCGGCGUAUCAUUCGGUGAUAUACAAACCGACUGGGACAAUUUACAAUGGUGAUUUUUCUACUGACGGGUCUAUGAGAUUGUGA